rnacentral:lncRNA from 1 species
UUUUUCUAUAAAUAAAGCCCCUCAAGAAGAACUUAAAAGAACAAAAAAGUCCAAUAGAUACAUAAAUUGUUCUUCAAUUUAUCUUCAAAGUUCAAACAAGAAUUAUUGAAGAUGGAACUUAUAUGUGGUGAGUGAUUUCCAUGCCAUACUUGUCAAGUAAAAAAAGAAGCAAAGAGACUGCUGAUUUGUCAAGGUUUUGCACUGAAAUCAACACCAAUGCUUGAAGCUCACAAUUACGAGAAAUAUAUGGAAAUUGAACUUUUACAUGUCGUAGCAGGUAAUAGUUUUAUUUUCGAGUUAUUUUUUUAAAUUAUGAAUGAGUAUUUAUAUAUAUAUAUAUAUAUAUAUUUAUAUAUAUAUCUUUUGUCUUUUAUGUAAUAAAUACAAUGUAAAAGUUUAAUAUACUGAAAUUAUUAUUAUUAUUAUUUGUUAAAUAGAAAUAUAAAAAGUAACAGGUAAUUUUGAAGUAAAACUUCAGCAAAAUUUUUAUGCUACUAAUGAACAUGCUGCAAAUUGUCGAUCGAUGAAAUUUGUGUGAGUUUUACAAUAUAAGAAACCACCUUUUUUAUGACAAUCCUUCACGCCACAAUAACUUGCAAUUUUGAACUUCUAGACAUGUAAACUACAUAUGCAUGUAUUAAUUAUCGUCAUCUAUUAAAUAUUAUGUAUUUUGUCAUUAAUUAAGAUUUUUUUUAUCGUAAAUCAAAGAAAAUAAAUGUAAUUGUGCUAUUAGAUACACAAAAAUAGGGAGAGAGGUGAGCGAGAUUGGUAAGCUGGGAAGAUGAGUGUGAUUCAUAUGUGUCUCAUAUACAUGCGAAUCACAGUAGAUACUUUAUCUAUAUGUAUCUGGAGUUAUUCACAUAUCAGAUACAUGGGAGAGACGAGAGAGAUUCGCUAUAUAUCCUAGAUAUACGCGAAUUCACUUGUAUACAGUGUAUUCAUAACAAAUUAUACUUAAUUUUGACUCCAUGUAUUCGAAAUACAUGUAUUUAGAGAUACCAAAAUCUCAUAAGAUACAUAAUAUUACACAUUAGAGUGUAUCGAUUAGCUCAUAUACUAGUGAAAUUUACGGAAGUUCCCCAAAAAUUCAUAUCCUUCCCUCAAUGUCACACCCCUAUAUUCCUCCGAAAAUUGAAUUGUUUUUUUUUAAAGAAAAGAGUUUUUCCAAUUAAAGUGACAUUUUGAAAAGAGAUUAUUCUAUAUUCAGAGUCGUCACUUGGAAUUGAGUUAUGGUGUUCCAAGUUACCUUUUUGUUUAAUCCCUAAUAAAAAGGAAAUGACUCUUUGUUUAGUCUGCGAAUCAGAAAUUCGGGUAAGAAAUUCUACUGAUCGAGGGGAAGGUAUUAGGCAUCCCUCGUGUUCUGUGGUUUCAGCACGGUCGCUUUAUUGACUUUUAUGACUUAAAUUAACUUUUGAAUAUUAUAUUAUUAAAACAAAUAUAUUUAUCCGCAUUAUUUGAUUAACCUUUGACAUAUUUAAAACUACCCUAUUUUAUAAGCAUGUGAAGUUUUUAUACAUUUUUAUUAUUUAUUUAUUUUUGUUUAUUAAUUUUUCAUGCUUUCAACAUUUGUUUGCUUCUUAAUUUCUUUUUUUAUUUUUUUUGUUUUUCUUAUUUGUUUUUAUAAUUGUAUUUUUGUUUCUGUUUCUUAUUUCUUGUACUAAUUAUUCACGUUUUUUUAGCUUUCCUUAUUUUUUAAAUUUUACAGUAAUUUUUUUCUUUUUCUUUUCUCACCCUUUUUAAUAGUUCUGUUUUUUUAUGAUAAUAAUAAAAUAUUUUAUUAUAUUUUUUAACACUAUACAUUUUGUUAAAGUAUUUUUUAUUAUAUUUAUUUUUUAUUUUUUCUUGUACAUUUUCUCCAUCCUUUUUAUUAUAUUUUUUUGUUUUUUUUUCUAAUUCAAAUGUUCCUUCUCCACUACUACUUUUCUUCUUUUGUUAUUCACGUAUUCUACCUUUUUUCCUUAUUUGAUUUUUAUUGUUAUUAUUUUUAAUAGCAUCCAAAAAAAUUAAUAAUGUAAGACGACACACAUAAUAUAAUAUGAAACAUAAUUUAAUGCUUUUCUAAACACAACCAAACAAAGAAUUCAUUCAAAUUAGUAAGAUAUGAAUAUAGAAAUUUGGAUAAUUACGCAUAUUAUCAUUAUAAAGUUAAGAACUUUACAUAAUAACUACACAUAUUAUCAUUAUAGAACUAAAUAUGAAAAAUAAAAAUAGACUUAGAUAAUAAUUUUACUUAAGUAUGAAAUAAACUAUGGAUUAUUUAAUAUGAAAUAAAGUACGGUUUGUUAUAGCAAUUUCACACUAAAUAUAACUAUAUAAAGGAUCUAAACAUAAAGUUGAUAUGAAAUAUUUGAACAUACUUCAUAUAAAAACAUAAUGGUUUAACCACAUGUGAAAUUCGACAACUUCAGUAUAUUGCAAUCAUUGAUUGUAUAAUCAUGAUAUUAAAUUAUACAAUAAAAAUUAAAUGGUACCUCUUGCGAAAAUUUCACCAAAAGAAAACAAUCGGGAUAAGGAACCACGAACUCGAAACCACAAAAGUAAACCUCAACUUCAACUCUUGUUUGUGAGUGAGAGCAAAAUAUGAAAUAAAAUGUGAAUAUAUUU